ACACAAAAUUGAUUGUAUGAAUAGGUAAAAAUAUGUACUUUCCCAAAAUUAACACUCUACGUGAUGCAAUUUUCAAUAAACUUUACAGCACUUAGAAACAGUAAGUAAAGCCCUUGCUUGAAAUAUUUAGAUAGUGAGAUGCAACUGUAUUUUGGAAAAUAUUUUUAUGAAAAACCAUUAUCCUUAAUACAGAACACAAUAAGUAUGGCUGAGAAGAAAAUGACUAACAGAGAUUUAAAAAAAUAUUUCGCAGCAAGGCCAGUGGCAGUAGUCAUGCCUGUAAUCCCAGCACUUGGGAAGGCUGAGAAGGGAGGAUCACUGGAGCCCGGGAGUUUUACAUCAGCCUGGGCAAUGUAGUGAGACACUAUCUCUACAAAAAAUACAAAAAAAAAAAAAAAAAAAAAAAAUUCACCAGGCAUGGUGGCACAGGCCUGUAGUUCCAGCUACUUGGAAAGCUAAGGUGGAAGGAGUAACAGAGCCUGAGAGAUUGUGGCUACAGUGAACUAAGAUUGCACCACUAUACUCCAGCCUGGGUGACAGAGCGAGAUCCUUUCUCAACAAACAAACAACAACAAACACAAAUAGAAAUCACAACAAAUAAAUAUACAAACAAUAACAAGAAAACUUUCCCUAAACUGACCAAAUAGAUUAAAAAUGUAAAAAUCAAAGAGAAAAAAAUUGAUUUUAUGAAUAGGUAAAAAUAUUAAACAAAACCCUGAGAAAAUACUUCAUAUGGUGAGAAGACAAACAUGAUUCAAUAAAAUUUUUGUCAACACCUCUGGAGAACGAAAAAAUUAGACCUGAAAAGUAUUCAGAAAUUUGCUGUAAAAAUGGCUUACUUGAAUAAAAAUACCUAUAAAUUCCAAAAAAUAAAAACAAAAAAGAAAGAAAGGAAUAAACAUUUCCAUUGAAAAAGCAAACUGAACGUUAAGGAAAUAAAGAAGGAAUAACUAAAGCUUUUUACGUUGUGGAAAAUCAGGUAUAAAUUUUAAAAUAAUAAUCAACAUUUUGACAGAAAAAUGACAAAUCUUACCAAGGAGGAAA
rnacentral:lncRNA from 1 species